rnacentral:rRNA from 1 species
GACGAACCGGUGCGAACGUUGUUCGGAUUCACUGGGCUUAAAGGGCGCGUAGGCGGCUUGCCAAGUCAGGGGUGAAAUCUUUCGGCUCAACCCGGAAACGUGCCCCUGAUACUGGCGGGCUGGAGGGAGGUAGGGGCAGACGGAACUUCCGGUGGAGCGGUGGAAAUGCGUAGAUAUCGGAAGGAACGCCGGUGGCGAAAGCGGUCUGCUGGACCUCUUCUGACGCUGAUG